rnacentral:tRNA from 1 species
GCCUUGGUAGUGUAGCUCGGCCUAUCAUGAAGCCCUGUCGAGGCUUCGACCCGGGUUCAAAUCCCGGCCAGGGCG